UACGAAGGGGGCUAGCGUUGUUCGGAAUUACUGGGCGUAAAGGGCUCGUAGGCGGCCAACUAAGUCAGACGUGAAAUCCCCUCGGCUUAACCGGGGAACUGCGUCUGAUACUGGAUGGCUUGAGUGUGGGAGAGGAAUGCGGAAUUCCAGGUGUAGCGGUGAAAUGCGUAGAUAUCUGGAGGAACACCGGUGGCGAAGGCGGCAUUCUGGACCAUUACUGACGCUGAGGAGCGAAAGCCAGGGGAGCAA
rnacentral:rRNA from 1 species